rnacentral:rRNA from 1 species
AGAAUCAACGCUGGCGGCGUGCCUCAGACAUGCAGGUCGAACGCGAAAGUUCCCUUCGGGGGCAAGUAGAGUGGCGCACGGGUGAGUAACACGUAGGUAAUCUACCUUUGGAUGGGGAAUAACAACCGGAAACGGUUGCUAAUACCGCAUAAUGCAGCGGCACCUAAUGGUGACAGUUGUUAAAGCGGGGGAUCGAAAGACCUCGCGUCUGAAGAGGAGCCUGCGGCGGAUUAGCUAGUUGGUAAGGUAACGGCUUACCAAGGCAACGAUCCGUA